rnacentral:rRNA from 1 species
GACGAACGCUGGCGGCGUGCUUAACACAUGCAAGUCGAACGGAAAGGCCCUGCUUGCCGGGUACUCGAGUGGCGAACGGGUGAGUAACACGUGGGUGAUCUGCCCUGCACUUCGGGAUAAGCCUGGGAAACUGGGUCUAAUACCGGAUAGGAGCCAUUUUUAGUGUGAUGGUUGGAAAGUUUUUUCGGUGUAGGAUGAGCUCGCGGCCUAUCAGCUUGUUGGUGGGGUAAUGGCCUACCAAGGCGGCGACGGGUAGCCGGCCUGAGAGGGUGGACGGCCACAUUGGGACUGAGAUACGACCCAGACUCCUACGGGAGGCAGCAGUGGGGAAUAUUGCACAAUGGGCGCAAGCCUGAUGCAGCGACGCCGCGUGGGGGAUGACGGCCUUCGGGUUGUAAACUCCUUUCGCUAGGGACGAAGCUUUUGUGACGGUACCUAGAUAAGAAGCACCGGCUAACUACGUG